CAGUCGCCACGGGAAUACAGAGGGUGCGAGCGUUAAUCGGAUUUACUGGGCGUAAAGCGUGCGUAGGCGGCUUCUUAAGUCGGAUGUGAAAUCCCUGAGCUUAACUUAGGAAUUGCAUUCGAUACUGGGAAGCUAGAGUAUGGGAGAGGAUGGUAGAAUUCCAGGUGUAGCGGUGAAAUGCGUAGAGAUCUGGAGGAAUACCGAUGGCGAAGGCAGCCAUCUGGCCUAAUACUGACGCUGAGGUACGAAAGCAUGGGGAGCAAACAGGAUUAGAUACCCCUGUAGUCCCUGUCUUUAUACA
rnacentral:rRNA from 1 species